GUUGCCAGCAGUUCGGCUGGGCACUCUAAAGGGACUGCCGGUGUUAAACCGGAGGAAGUGGGGAUGACGUCAAGUCCUCAUGGCCCUUAUGACCAGGGCUACACACGUACUACAAUGGCCGAUCAAAGGGCAGCGACACUGCGAGGUGAAGCCAAUCCCGUAAAAUCGGUCUCAGUCCGGAUUGGAGUCUGCAACUCGACUCCAUGAAGUUGGAAUCGCUAGCAAUCGCGCAUCAGCCAUGGCGCGGUGAAUACGUUCCCGGGCCUU
rnacentral:rRNA from 1 species